AAAUCUCUCUUGGCCUUUUGGUAAAGAUCAAGUGUAGUAUCGGUUCUUAUCAGUUUGAAAAUAACUAUAGUAAUGAAUUAUUGAAAAAUUAACAAAGUGGUGCUUAGUGAGGUAGUGACGUAACUCUUU
ensembl:snRNA U2 U2 spliceosomal RNA